GACGAACGCUGGCGGCGUGCUUAGCACAUGCAAGUCGAACGGAAAGGCCCUGCUUUUGUGGGGUGCUCGAGUGGCGAACGGGUGAGUAACACGUGAGUAACCUGCCCUUGACUUUGGGAUAACUUCAGGAAACUGGGGCUAAUACCGGAUAGGAGCUCCUGCUGCAUGGUGGGGGUUGGAAAGUUUCGGCGGUUGGGGAUGGACUCGCGGCUUAUCAGCUUGUUGGUGGGGUAGUGGCUUACCAAGGCUUUGACGGGUAGCCGGCCUGAGAGGGUGACCGGCCACAUUGGGACUGAGAUACGGCCCAGACUCCUACGGGAGGCAGCAGUGGGGAAUAUUGCACAAUGGGCGGAAGCCUGAUGCAGCAACGCCGCGUGCGGGAUGACGGCCUUCGGGUUGUAAACCUCUUUCGCCUGUGACGAAGCGUGAGUGACGGUAAUGGGUAAAGAAGCACCGGCUAACUACGUG
rnacentral:rRNA from 1 species